AGAAAUUGUUCUUACGCAAGAGUAAAAGAGACUUAGCAUUUCUAUCGCGAGAAAGUCGAGUAUAAAUGCUAGCCAAAACCGAUACGCGAAACAGGACAGUGCUGGCGUUGCUGAAACGUCUGGAAAAUGUUAGCUUACCAUCCAGCGAAAACAACGUGGAACUCGCAUCAAACCUUUGAUCCGAUUCACUUGGAAUUUUUGGGUCGAAUAUAUCUUCCGGGUUUGGCUGCUGCCAAGAUCAUAAAAAAAACUCACAUUUGACAAUAUACUCCACAAGGACAUAUAUACUUUGCCUUCGUGUCCAAGACCUGAUUAAAUCCAAGCGUCGUUAUGAAAGACUUUGGAGCGAAAGAAGAAAAGACAGGACACUUACGUCGCCGAAGUGAUCGUGUUGUGGUCCACAUACGCUUUAAGUAGGCACAAGGAAGAGAAAGUCCAGCAAACCAUGGAGUUGUCCUUUCAUCU
rnacentral:lncRNA from 1 species